AGGGGGUGGGGGGCUAGUAUGUAGUGGUGGGGGAUAGGGAGAGACUUUACAGGAGUUUUCAUGUUCGACUAUUAAUAACGUUAUUGAACAAUUAUUCAAGGACGGCUGGCGAGUCUUAGCGAGAAGACGGCGUCCGAGUCAAUGGUGAACGGUGUUCGCACGGCAGGCUCGCAAGCACAUCUGUUCACGGUGCUAGGCUACAUCACGUAGCAUGCCAGACGGACCCAUCACAGAUGCGCACACAUGGCACGCAGCUUUCUAUGAAAACACUGCGACCUCACUACAAAAAGUACAGGCACACAGAAAACUGUGCUGCACUGAUGUCGGUGUUGGGACCUCAGCUGUAAGAGGCCUCGCUUGGAGGAGGGAGAGGACAACCCAAGUUGUUCAAAUUACGUGGAUAACCUGUUGGACCUCAUCUUUCACGAGGUUACUCAGGACCCGGCCCCAUAUGUGAAUGAGGUGCUGAAGAUCUCAAAACCUGAGGAUCUCUCUGCCAAGUAUGAGAAACCUGACUAGCAGGAAGUUAUAGCCAGCUAUGUGAGCAUCAGGGAACACUCUGCGUACCUGGAGCACCACGCAGGAGGGCAUGACCACCCUGAUUCUCUGGCCCAGAUGGCCUCAACACCAGCUAACAAAGCUUCUGUACGCCAAAUAACUGUAACGGCUGAGCAAAGUUUACAUUGUAUUGUAGCAUAUUCAGCUCUAACAUGGUUAUAUAUGUUCUAUAUUCAGCUCUAACAUGAUUAUAUACAAUGAUGGCAUGUUACUGUUGUAAAUUCAGCUAAUGGAACUUUCUAACAUGUGUAUAUACAAUGAUGACAUGCUACCCUCCUAAGUUUUGAGUUUGAGUUUUUCGUCCCGCUCUUUGGAAUGAUCUAUGACCUAUCGUACAGUAUCUGACCUGCUUAGGGAGGAGCAAAGAUUUAGCGGUUGACUUCAACUUGAAGUUCCUAAAAACAUGUCCAAAUUUAGGCAUAGACCCUAUGUGCUACGUCAUUUUAUCUAUAGUUCUUUGUUCUUUCUUUGUUUACCUCUGUCCCAGCCAGUACAUUUAAUAACUGUUUAAAGAGGUCUGUGGCAUUCUUUCUAGCAAUCUUUCUGGCAAUAAAAGUUUAUAGAAACAG